CACAGAGGGGUUUGACCUUAACCAGCUCACAGAUCUCAAUUUUUGCAGACAAAAGAUUAAUUAGCACCCGCCGUGAAAUGAAGUGGUGUGUGAAGAUGACAUGUUGCUUCUCUGAGACCUUAGGCAAGUGUUAUGUGUUAACUGUCAACUUGACAGAAUCCGGAACCACUUGGGAGCUUAACAUCCAGGGAGCACAGCUCUAGGUGGUGAGCUGGGGGCUGGAGGACUGAGAAUCGAGGAGAAGCCUCCGUUCUCCACAGUCCCUUAAGAACCAAGGUUGGCUUUUCCAUCUUAGCUUGUUAUGAAGGUCACCACCCAGAAGGCAGAAAAAGAAAGAACUCGGGGAACCAUGCAGAAGAGGAUUAUCAUGAGAUUCACAGCGGGCCAUGGACUUCUGCUUACUGAUGUAAAACUCAGUCCCUCCACCCCACUAAACUACAAGGAAGCCUGGGCGAUAUGGUCUCCACGCAUUCUCUACGAAAAAGGAAAUGAUUUAACGAAGCCAAAUUCUGGAACGGUGGUUCGUGUCAUGCAAAGAUCCAUUGAGGGCAAGCUUUAAGAGGGCUUAGAAUUGCAGGACAAACCACAGAGUGGGGGGCACAGAGAACAAGGUUUCCUGCCAUCUCACUACUCUGAUCGUCUUGGCUGUAGUUCCAUCACCUUCCAUCACAGACUAUUGCCCAGGUAAAUGCAAGCCAUUUCUGAGGAGUUGGCAAACUUUUCCAGAAACCCUAGAAGACAUCCCCUUGGGCCUCAGCUAUAACCAAAUUGCACAAGCAGCCACUGAUACAUAACUGACUCCUAGCAAAUGAGUUUGCAGCUGAGAGUGAUUGUCCCAGUGAAAGUCAGCGUGGAAAAUGGAGUCUGAGAAGUGGGAACACUACCCACUCUACUCUCCUACCCCACACCCUUUCAUCUUCCACAACUGCCUACUUUACCUAAUCCCUUGUUUUGUGUUACUUCUGUUUUCAACCAAGGGAAACACUUUCCCUGAGUUAUCUCAUCUUCUCUCAAAGAAUCAGGAGCCCUCCAUUUGAGAAUGGCCGCACAGAAGAGGUAAUGUGAACUGGAGAGUUGGUGCGACAGUUAGGAACAUUUGCUGCCCUUCCAGAGGACAUGGGUUUAAUCCAGACACCCACAUGGUGGCUCACAGUUGUCUAUAGCUUCAGUUCCAGGACAUUCUAUGCCUUCUAGCCUUUGAGGACAUCAUGCAUGCACAUGUUCUGUAGACAUACACGGAGUCAAAAUACCCAUACAUGUAACAGUUAAAAAUAAAUUAAAAUUAAAAAACUGAUA
rnacentral:lncRNA from 1 species